GUCUGGUGCCAGCAGCCGCGGUAAUUCCAGCUCCAAUAGCGUAUAUUAAAAUUGUUGCAGUUAAAAAGCUCGUAGUUGAAUUUCUGCUACAUUGCCUAUUCUCCUUUACGAGUUUGGGUCUUUUGUGGCUUAUCUGGGUUCGCUUGCGUUCCCGGUGUUUUACUUUGAGAAAAUUAGAGUGCUCAAAGCAGGCUUUUGCCUUGAAUAGUUUAGCAUGGAAUAAUAAAGUAGGACUUUGGUUCUAUUUUGUUGGUUUUAGGUACCAAAGUAAUGGUUAAUAGGAACAGUUGGGGGCAUUCGUAUUUAACUGUCAGAGGUGAAAUUCUUAGAUUUGUUAAAGACGAACUACUGCGAAAGCAUUUGCCAAGGAUGUUUUCAUUAAUCAAGAACGAAAGUUAGGGGAUCGAAGACGAUCAGAUACCGUCGUAGUCCUAACCAUAAACUAUGCCGACUAGAGAUUGGAGGUCGUCAGUUUUUACGACUCCUUCAGCACCUUGAGAGAAAUCAAAGUCUU
rnacentral:rRNA from 1 species